UGGUAGUUUGAAAAAAAUACUUUGCUUUGUCCAAUUCAGCUCAGCUUCAGAACACUUCUGUUUGCGAGUAUCCGAUAUUUUCUUAAAUUGGAUGUUUCCAGUGACUUCAAGUUGUUCUAAAACUUCUGCUCUACUUAACUCCUUAGGUGGCAGAUGCCGGUCAGACUUUCCAUCAAAGUAUUGGUUGUAACAGGUCCUCCAAGAAUGAUUACCAAGUAGAAACCACCGAUGACCCAUGAGCAUAUUUUUCGUCCAUGCUUUAAAUGUAAGGAGGAUGC
rnacentral:lncRNA from 1 species